AUCCUCAUAGUUUAAAUAAAACAUUGUAUUUUCAAUACAAAAAUGACCAAUAAUCUCUGGAUU
rnacentral:tRNA from 1 species